rnacentral:rRNA from 1 species
UACGAAGGGUGCAAACGUUGCUCGGAAUCAUUGGGCGUAAAGCGCACGUAGGCGGCGCUCUAAGUCGGAUGUGAAAUCCCUCGGCUCAACCGAGGACGUGCAUCCGAAACUGGAGUGCUCGAGUAUGCAAGAGGGUCGCGGAAUUCUCGGUGUAGAGGUGAAAUUCGUAGAUAUCGGGAGGAACACCAGUGGCGAAGGCGGCGACCUGGGGCAAUACUGACGCUGAGGUGCGAAAGCGUGGGGAGCAAACAGG